rnacentral:SRP_RNA from 1 species
UUGAAAUAAGUUAUAAUGUUUACCUAAGCACACUCAGCUCCGUCAUGCGACGAGUGGGUCCUGUGCGACGGGGCACCGUGACCCAUGUCAGGCGGGGAACCGAGCCGCAUUAAGCGGAUAGUUCUGUGCGCCCCAGUCCGCCUAUUCGUCGUAUGACCGAGUUGAGUGUAUUUUUA